GUUGUUUUGGCGCCAAGCUGCUGUUUCUUUGAGAGAUCCUGCCUUUACCUGCUCCCUCCUAUACUGAUGUGGUGUAUGUGGUACUGCUGAGCUUGUAUGUGAUCUGAACCAUUGUAAAGGUUGCAGUUCAAGGGCCUGAGGUGGAAGCAGAAUUUGUGAGGAUUACUACUGCUCCACUUGUUCCAAGGCUUU